GAGAUGGAGUCUCGCUCUGUCACCCAGCCUGGAGUGCAGUGGCACGAUCUCAGCUCAAUGCAACCUCCACCUCCCAGGUUCAAGUGUUUCUCCUGUCUCAGCCUCUUGAUAGCUAGGACUACAGGUGCCCGCACCAUGCCCAGCUAAUUUUUGUAUUUUUAUUAGAGAUACGGUUUCACCAUGUUGGCGAGUCUGGUCUUGGACUCCUGACUUUAAGUGAUCCGCCCGCCUUGGUCUCCCAAAGUGCUGGGAUUACAGGUGUGAGCCACCACACCUGGCCAGGAUAGGCAGACUUUUAAAUGGCGUCUGGCUUCCCCGAUAGCAAGAGUUCCAAGGGACAGCAAGUAGAAGCUGUCAGCCUCUUAAGAUCAGGAUCUGAAACUGACACAAUGUCACUUCCACUUUUGGAUAAAGCAAUCAGAGCCACCCAUAUUCAAGGGGAGGAGAUAAAACCCUUAGGUCUUGGGGGACUUGAGUGUCAAAGAAUUUGUGGCCACCUUUAGUUCUCCACAUUCUCCAGCCAGGAUGAAAAGGGUUUGUUUUUAGUUGGACAUUAUCCUAGUCUGACCUCAUAAUGAAAUGUUUUGCAUUCAUGUAGAUCUUUACACAUUAAAAGACAGUUCAUGUGCACUGUCUCAAUUUGUCCUCACAAUAUCUCUGAGAUAGUAGUUGGGCAACAAGGAGACAGAGGCACAGAGGUGAGAGGCCUAGGGUCACACAACUUCCUGGGGACAGAGUUGAGACUUACAUCUCAAUCUCUUUUCUCUGAGUCCAUGUAGAGGGAUUCUGGUUUGUUUAACCAGGUCACUUUGCUCUCAGACACAGAGAGCAACAGAAGAUGAAAGCAUAUUUCCCUUUGGCUGAAAAUGUGGCCACAGAGCUUUGCAGGUGAAGUUCAAGUUGCUGGUAAAUGUCAUGUUAACAUGGCUACUGCAGCCCCUGCUAUUGGUAAGGACUCUUUUUUUUUUUUGGGGGACAGUUUGCUGUGCCUCCCAGGCUGGAGAGCAGUGGCACAAUCUGGGCUCACUACAACCUCUGCCUCCCGGGUUCAAGUGAUUCUUGUGCCUCAGCCUCCCGAGUAGCUGGGAUUGCAGGCAGGAGAAUCACUUGAACCCAGGAGGCAGAGGUUGCAGUGAG
rnacentral:lncRNA from 10 species